UACGUAGGCAGCGAGCGUUGUUCGGAAUUACUGGGCGUAAAGGGCGCGUAGGCGGUCGGAUAAGUCUUGUGUGAAAUCUUCGGGCUCAACUCGAAGUCUGCACAGGAAACUAUCUGGCUUGAGUGUGGGAGAGGUGAGUGGAAUUCCUGGUGUAGCGGUGAAAUGCGCAGAUAUCAGGAGGAACACCAAUGGCGAAGGCAGCUCGCUGGGACGGUACUGACGCUGAGACGCGAAAGCGUGGGGAGCAAACAGG
rnacentral:rRNA from 1 species